rnacentral:rRNA from 1 species
GACAGAGGGUGCAAACGUUGUUCGGAAUUACUGGGCGUAAAGCGCGUGUAGGCGGCCAUCUAAGUCGGGCGUGAAAUCCCACGGCUCAACCGUGGAAGUGCACUCGAAACUGGAUGGCUAGAGUCCUGGAGAGGAAGGUGGAAUGCUUGGUGUAGAGGUGAAAUUCGUAGAUAUCAAGCGGAACACCGGGUGGCGAAGGCGGCCUUCUGGACAGUGACUGACGCUGAG